rnacentral:rRNA from 1 species
UUUGAUUCCCCGCAGUAUUAUAUGCUGAUGUUAAAGAUUAAGCCAUGCAUGUGUAAGUUUAAAGACCAAGUAGGAUGAAACUGCGGACGGCUCAUUAUAACAGUAAUAGUUUCUUUGGUUAGUCGGUACAAGGAUAACUUUGUGAAUGAUAAAGCUAAUACUUGAGACGAUCCGGGAAGUAUUUAUACUUUCCGGCCCUCGGCCGCGAGGUUGGGGAAAAACGACAUUCUCUUGUGAAAAAGGAUGCCGCGACAAUUGAGGAAAGCGACGCUUUUAACAAGUAACCAAUGGGAAUUUCUGAUCUAUCAAUUUGUUGGUAGUAUCGAGGACUACCAAGAUUAUAACGGAUAACGAGGAAUUGGGGUUCGACAUCGGAGAGGGAGCUUUACAGAUGGCUACCACUUCUAAGGAAGGCAGCAGGCGCGUAAAUUACCCACUUUCGACCCGAAGAGGUAGUGACGACAAAUAACUCUUGGCGCCCCUCGGGGUGACUUGAAGGAAUGAUUUAAAAGUAAAUUCUCUAAAAAAAUCAAUUGGAGGGCAAGUCUGGUGCCAGCACCCGCGGUAAUUCCAGCUCCAAAAUAGGG